rnacentral:rRNA from 1 species
AUUGAACGCUGGCGGCAUGCUUUACACAUGCAAGUCGAACGGCAGCGCGGGCUUCGGCCUGGCGGCGAGUGGCGAACGGGUGAGUAAUGCAUCGGAACGUGCCCAGUAGUGGAGGAUAGCCCAGCGAAAGCCGGAUUAAUACCGCAUACGACCUGAGGGUGAAAGCGGGGGACCGAAAGGCCUCGCGCUAUUGGAGCGGCCGAUGUCGGAUUAGCUAGUUGGUGGGGUAAAGGCUUACCAAGGCGACGAUCCGUAGCUGGUCUGAGAGGACGACCAGCCACAAUUGGACUGAGACACGGCCCAGACUCCUACGGGAGGCAGCAGUGGGGAAUUUUGGACAAUGGGGGCAACCCUGAUCCAGCCAUGCCGCGUGCGGGAAGAAGGCCUUCGGGUUGUAAACCGCUUUUGUUCGGGAAGAAAUCCUCUGGGCUAAUACCCCGGGGGGAUGACGGUACCGGAAGAAUAAGCACCGGCUAACUACGUG